CUUAACACAUGCAAGUCGAACGGUGAAGGGGCCUGCUUUUGUGGGUCCUGGAUGAGUGGCGAACGGGUGAGUAACACGUGAGUAACCUGCCCCCUUCUUCUGGAUAACCGCAUGAAAGUGUGGCUAAUACGGGAUAUUCUGGGUCUGUCGCAUGGUGGGCCUGGGAAAGAUUGCGCCUUUUGGGUGUUUUUGGUGGGGGAUGGGCUCGCGGCCUAUCAGCUUGUUGGUGGGGUGAUGGCCUACCAAGGCGGUGACGGGUAGCCGGCCUGAGAGGGUGGACGGUCACACUGGGACUGAGACACGGCCCAGACUCCUACGGGAGGCAGCAGUGGGGAAUAUUGCACAAUGGGCGCAAGCCUGAUGCAGCGACGCCGCGUGAGGGAUGGAGGCCUUCGGGUUGUGAACCUCUUUCGCCAGUGAAGCAGGCCUGCUCCUGUGUGGGUGGGUUGACGGUAGCUGGAUAAGAAGCGCCGGCUAACUACGUGCCAGCAGCCGCGGUAAUACGUAGGGCGCGAGCGUUGUCCGGAAUUAUUGGGCGUAAAGAGCUCGUAGGCGGCUGGUCGCGUCUGUCGUGAAAUCCUCUGGCUUAACUGGGGGCUUGCGGUGGGUACGGGCCGGCUUGAGUGCGGUAGGGGAGGCUGGAACUCCUGGUGUAGCGGUGGAAUGCGCAGAUAUCAGGAAGAACACCGGUGGCGAAGGCGGGUCUCUGGGCCGUUACUGACGCUGAGGAGCGAAAGCGUGGGGAGCGAACAGGAUUAGAUACCC
rnacentral:rRNA from 1 species